GUCGGGCGCCCGAGCCGUCUUUCCCAAGCGAGCUGGGCGGGGCUCGGGAGGCGCUGAGCGAGCCCGAGCAAGGCCCAGUGUCUUCCUUAAAGCCGGUUAGCGGUAGCGCUGCCUCCGGGAGAGACGCGGCGUUCGGGAACGUCAUCCUCUCACCAUUAUCAAAACAACGCCAAGCGGCCCUGCACGCUCCCUACGCCAGGCCUUGGCGGAGCUUCCUCAGCGAACGCAGAACCUGUUUUGAAUCUCGGCGCCCAGAUUGGGACGCGCGAAAGACGGCGAGGGAAGUCUCUGAGCGCCCACAGAGUGUUGUUGGCCCGUCGCCGCUGCGAAACUCGUAGGCAGACGCGGCCUCCCUGGGCGGGCUCGUUAUUUUAGUAAGGAAAAGCACUGCCGGAAUAACCAGAUUGGCCUUCUCUAAAUACUGUAACCCAAAACAACCUCGACACUUGCACAGCUAAUGAAUACUAUACUCUCCAAGUAAAAACACAAAAAAUUGCAGUCCUUCAACAGGACCCGGUGCACGUUCACUCAGAAGUAAGUUCCGCUGAGUUUAAGGGAAUUUACUCGCAAGUAAUUGAAAAGCCUUGUUUCACUCGAGAGUACCGGUAUAUACACGUGUACUUACAGUUGGGCAACACCUUUAUUAGAACCAAACAAAAUCGUGGCAAGCUUCGAAUCUCCCCAAACUCUUAAAUUAUUCAAUUUGUUGCGCAAAGCAGAAAAAUGGGAGGAGGGGGAAUAAAAGUUUAAAAAUCAGGCCAACUGUCUGCUUGGAUUAUUGUUUUUAAUUUUAGAAUAAUCACUUUGGGCACAAUCCAGUCUACCAUAGUCAUCACCCAUCUGCAGAAUAUUCCCAUAGAUGCAGUAGAACCAGAUUGCCAUAGAUGAACCGAAUGCUAUGUGAAGGCAGAAGAUUUUAAAGUGUUAUGAACUGCCCUGGAAUCCAUUUUGAAGGGUGGCAUAUUAAUAUAAUAAAUAGAUUCAAUAGGAGGACUGUACAUUUCCAAAAUUGCCAGCCAACCAGCUGUUUAUCUCCCCUCAAUAUCCAUUGUACUGCUCACUGAGUGGCAAAAAGUAACUGGCUGGGAAUGUGGGUGGUGUACCCAGACCUCCCUUAAAAGUUCUUUGGCAGUCUUCGUCAAGAAGCAGUGAUAAAACACAACUUGUGUCCCCAAAUCCUUUAGCUUCCUACCCAGAACCUUGGAGAUCUGUUCAAGAUUUCUUCCGAUUGCAGCAUUGGGUCACAAAUGGAUUGGCAAUAGAUUUCAGUCAGUGGGUUUUAUGAGUUUAAUCAAACUCCAUCAUAUCUUGAACACAUAUUCCAGGAAGGCAAUAUACCUCCUGAGAUGAUAUAUCAGGUCUGCACACAACUGCCUCUGACCCAUUACUUGGUGGACUUGGAAGUUUCGCUGGCUACAUAUGACUUGUGCUCUAAGCUGUGUUGCUCAGUAUAUGCAGCUUGUCUGACAGAGUAACAGCCCUAUCCUGCUGCUCCAUUUGAUCCUUGCCUGUCCUGGUUAUGAAGUGAAAAUGGUGAGAACUUUGGGGAAAUGUGAGCAUAUCGUAUUGGAAUAUAUGAUAGCAAGGGAUGUAAAAACUGAGCAUAGUCAGAUAUAUACACUAGACUCUCAGAAAAUCAGUAUCAAAAAGCUUGAUAUCAAAAAAGUUGGAUAGGAGCAAUGACUAUAAAUUCUGAAGGUGUUCCAGAGGGAUGACAAACUUUGAAGGCACGUUCAAGAAGUAUUCUAAUGGAAGGGAAAAUUGGAGACAUCUAACAAAGCCUAUGUGACUGUAUAGGCCUACAGGGAGUUCUCUGAUGAGCUGAGGCAAAAAAACCCCGACAUAUAUAGGGGAUGAAAGUCUAGUAGAAAUGCGGAAGACCACUGUAAUUUCGAGGAGUUAAAUGACAUGUCUCUUUCCCUUUUACAUCCCCGGUUUAAGAUUUGCUGAUUCAUGACAGUAUAAUUUGUUUUUCACACACCUGUGUCAGGGGUUUCCUGGGUCCCUGUGUUCUAAGUGCUGAUAAGCUAGUAGGGAGGAUACCCAGUUGCAGUGAAUUAGGUUAGAGACUCUCAGCUACUCCGCAUUAGUCACACCCAGUGUCCCGGGCUGAUCAUGAGUGAUGCCUGCUAACCAGGUGCAAUCAAUCAAAUCAAAGUUGGCUAUAAAAGCUGUAGACUGAAGGGACUCGGGGAGCUUUUUCAUAGAUAGAGGUACCAGAUGCUGUGAGACUGUCGGCCAGGGUCUCUCUUGCUGCUCUACCUGGAGCUCCGGGCAGCUGAAGGGGAGAUUGUGUGUGACUUCUGUCUGGUAUGCUAUAAUUUGUGUUUCGUAUGCUUGCUGCUAUUUGUUAACCUUAUGCAAAUAAUGCAUUACUUAUUCUUUAUCCACUGGUGUGCUUAUUGGCUCCAGAUCCAGAAAGAACCCUACCCUUGGCAGAACAAAAAGGAGGAACAUAUAAUCAAGGAUGAAUAGCCUGAACCUGUAAGGAUGAUGUCAGAUAUGGUAUGUCAUGUGCUGGCUUGGUUUCCUUGUCGUUGGAAUAUAAAACUGGGGAUUUGGAGGAGAUGGAAUUGCCCUCAGGGCCAACCCUAGAAGUUCCUAUUAAGGCAGAAGCACAUAUGCAGAAAGAGCCCACUGAGUAACUUCCAAUCUGAGGUCAUCUUGGCUGUGUUUUUCUGCAGGCCCAGAUCAUACAGCCUGAGCUUUCAGAGCCAUUGCCCACCCUGGACAACCAUUAGCAGGACUAACAGCAGCAGCAACAGAUAUGCUAUAUGCUUAUGAUAAUACUUUAUUCUCUUGUUAAUAUGCCUGUUUGAAUGUUCAUUUUAUAUUUGACUUGCUUUAGUAAUGUUUUCUUUUGAAAUGUUUCAGAUACUUUUGGUCAGGUUUGCCAUGUUAAUAAUAAUAAUAAUAAAUAUUAUUUAUACCCUGCCCAUCUGGUGGGGUUUCCCCAGCCACUCUAGGCAGCUAACACGUUUAGGUGUGCAGUCCAUAAUGGGCCUCCUUUGUAAUGUUUUAUUUUGAAUGUAAUCAUUAUAUUUAUAUUUGACUUUCUUCAGUUAGGUUUUAUUCUGGAUUGUUUUGGGGAUUUUUUUGCCAAUUAUGUUUAUUUUCCAUAAUUUGAAACAAAUUGUCACCAAAAUAAUACAAAUUCAAUACAAAUUUAAAAACUAACUCCCCCCCCCAAAUGUCCCCUCUAUUUUCCACCCUCCUUUGCUGCUCCCAAUAAAAUAACUUUUCCAAGUAUUUCACAAUACAUUCAUCCCUUCUCCUUACACAUCACCUGUUCAAUUACCAAUUUCUUGCUAUGGCUUUUAUACAUUGUCAUAACCUGUCCUCAAAAUAGUUGAGUAGAGUAAAUCUUCCAUCUAUCUAGAAUAGUCGUUCAUCAACUUUCAAACAUUUCCUUCUGAUACCUCUUGAGUAACACUUUGAGAAAAACAGAUAUUGCUUCCUCCCAGACAACAUACACACAUUCCUCCCUAACAUGGCCCUGAAUAUUGCUGCCUGACAUCUGUCCCCAGUAAUCAACUCAGCUGCAUGGGUGUGGCACGCAAAGGGUGAAAAUGAAACCCCCAAAUAUAUAAUAAACAUUCUCCCCCUCUAACACUGCCAAUCUCCCAGCAUCACCCAUCCUUCACAUUUCGCCAAAUUUAAUCCUCAAUUUUACAUACAACCAUCGUAAUAAACAAUCACAAUCCAUCUCUCUUAUGUCUGAAAGUCUCAGAAGCCAUCAAGAUGGUAUACACUGUGGUCCUUCCUGUCCCUUUCACUGUUCUUUUUUCAAGCUGCAAGGGGGGUGGGCUGAUGUAAUCGCAGCAAAAUCCAGAUCUCCCCUCCAUCCUCCCCCCACUAAACUAAUAAAUCUUCCUGCAGUCCAUCCUGCCAAUCCUCAGUUCCAUUACAUCCAACUCCAGUUUAUUCUCUUCUGAGUGCUUAACAAAGUCAAUCCAGUUGUUACCCAUCUUUUCUUCUUUACUAUUUUCAUUUCACAAUAUGAAGUUCCAAGGGUUGGUCAAAAUCCCUCAAGGUUGUUACUCUCCAUCUUCUUUCAGGCAAAGUCCUUAGUUAUAAAAUAAAUUAAUUGCGAAGAGGUAUCUUUAAAGUCCACUCAUCCUGAAAACUUUGCAUUCCAUUGCUUUAGAUAAAAAUAUAUGACUUAAAAUAUUGCCUCCCCUCCGCUCCUUCCACCGUUCAAGCAAAGCAAAAAUCAGCGUCUUUCAUUCUUUCCAAACCUUUCCAAACAGAUGAUUUUCUCCUCCAUCAUAAAUCAGGAUCUUUUCAGUGGGGUGCCUCUUGUCCAAAUUCAAAGGUGUUCCACAGCUUACCACGGUAGCUUGCUUGGGCUGUCCUUGGAUGGAGCCAUUGAGCCCAGUGCCCUUACCUUUUUGUCUGGGAGACAGGGAUUUCCAUCCCCGCUCACAAACAAAGAAAAGGCAAUAACGGAUGACCGUGGGUCUUGCCCUUUCAAUACCCUCAAAAGGUUAGGGGAGACAUGCCCCUUACCCCCCAUUAAUCUCUGUCUGGGACCCCUCCUGGGUGCCAGAGCACCAGGUUUGAUGCAAACAGGAAGUCUUAUUCUGGAUUCUUUUAGUUGAUGUUUUUAUGUGUUGCAAACCACUCUGAGAUUUUUUCUUAAACAUAUAAAGUGGAAUAGAUGAUGAUGAUGAUGAUGAUGAUGAUGUUUCCUCCUCUGACUUGAAGACCUCCAGCUUGGAAGCCUAGUAAAAGCACGGUCUCCCCUUUCCAUCAGAGGUGACAACUGCUAAAGCAGACUGGACAUACCAAUUAUUAUACAUUCCACAGAACUUCACAUCUUAUACAAUCUUUUUGGACUUCCAUCAGCACCUCUGAUGAUCCACCAUUUUUAUCAUUUCUUCUGCAUUUCUUAAAUUCCUAUUGCCUUUAAUUAUCUUAACUCACAAUCCACCUGUUUAACCAUUUUUGCAAUAAUUCAAAUAAUUUACCUCACAAAACUUCUUGCAAACCUACAAACGUAAUCUGGUCAUCACAAUUACUUUUCAAAUUGUCCGUAAAUUUACACCAGUCUUCUGUGAAUCUCUGGUCCCGCAGAUUUUGAAUUUGUUCGGGUAGUUUAUCCAAUUCUGCAUAGUCCAUCAAUUUCAUCCUCCAUUCUUCUUUUGUCGGUAAUUCUUCUUGCUUCCAUUUUUGUGCUAAUAAUAUUCUUGCUGCUGUCAUUGCAUAUAAAAACAACUUACAAUCCUUUACUGUUUAUAUCAUCUCCUACAAUGCCAAGUAAAAAUGCUUCCGGUUUCUUAAUAAAUGUAUAUUUCAACAUUUUUUUAUCUCAUUAUAGAUCAUCUCCCAGAAGUUUUUCACCUUUUUACAUUCCCACCACAUAUGAUAAAAUGUUCCCUCUUUUUCUUUGCAUUUCCAACAUUUAUUGCUAACUUUAUACAUUUUAGCUAAUUUAAUGGGUGUAAUAUACCGUCUAUACAUCAUUUUCAUCACAUUUUUCUUUAAGGCAUUGCAUGCAGUAAAUUUUAAACCUUCAUUCCAUAGUUUUCCCCAAUCAUUCAACUGUAUAUUAUACCCAAUGAAUCAUUACCCGACUUUACCUCCUCAUCCUUCAAAUGCCAUUCAAGCAGCAAUUUACACAUUUUGGACAAAAUUUUAUAUUUAUUAAUAUCUCUACUUCAAACUUUGAUUUAUUAUCAUCAAAUCCUUUUUCUUUAAAAUCCUGUUUAAACAUUUCAUUGACCUGGCGGUAGUGGAGCCAAUCAUUCACAUAUUCUUUAACUUCUUCAUAUGGCUUCAUCUUCCACUUACUCCCUUCUUUUUGUAUUAAUUCCCCAUAAGUUAUCCAAUUCCCACCCAUAUUGAUCCUUUUCACACUCAUUGCUUCUAAUGGAGAUAACCAAUGUGGCGUUUUACGUUCCAGUAGGUUUUGAUACCUAUCCCAUAUUUCUAUUAGAGAUCUUUGAAAUAUGUGGUUUCCAAAUCCUUUAUGGACUUUUGUUUUGUUAUACCAUAAAUAUGCGUGCCAACCAAAUCUAUUAUCAUAACCUUCCAGAUCUAACAAUUCUGUAUUUACUAAUAACAUCCAUUCCUUUAACCUACAGAGACAAGAUGCUUCAUAAUACAAUUCCAAAUCUGGCAGGGCGAAGCCUCCUCUUUCUUGAACAUAUGUUAACAACUUAUAUUGUAUUCUCGGCUUCUUUCCCUGCCAGAUAUAUCUUGAAAUUGCUUUUUGCCACUCUUUAAAAAUUGUUGCUCCCUUGAUUAUUGGAAUUGACUGAAACAAAAAUAACAUCUUUGGUAGCACAUUCAUUUUGAUAGCAGAAAUCCUUCCCCAAAAUGACAAUUUCAUCCUUCCACAUAUUUCCAAGUCUCUUUUAAUUCCAUUCCACACCGGUGUAUAAUUAUUUUGAAAAAGAUCAAUAUUUGUAGGCGUUAACCAAAUAACUAAAUAUUUAACUUUUUUACUGCUUCUAUGCCAAUUUGUUGUUGCAGUACUUCCACCGAGUCCUGUUUCAUAUUUUUAACUAUCAUUUUGGUUUCCUUUUUGUUCAAUUUAAAACCUGCCACUUGCCCAAACUGUUCUAUCUCCUCUAAUAUUCCUUUAACACUUGUAACUGGAUCUUCUAUUGUUAGUACCAAGUCAUCGGCAAAGGCUUUCACUUUAUACUCAUUCCGAACAACUGAAAUUCCUUUUAUUGUUUCGUUUCUCCUUAUUGUCUGUAGAAAAACUUCCAGUACCGAUAUGAAUAAUAAUGGUGAUAAUGGACACCCUUGUCUUGUACCUUUCGUAAUAUCGAUACUUUCUAUUACUAUAUCAUUUACAAUCAGUUUUGCUCUCUGUUCUGAAUAUAUAGCUUUUAAUCCUUGUAAGAAGAAUUGUCCAGUGUCCAUUAAUUCCAAAUUCUUUAACAUGAACUCCCAAGAUAUAUUAUCAAAGGCCUUUUCCGCAUCCACAAAAAUUAACACCGCUUGCUUUUCAUUUCUGGCAGUCAGAUAUUCAAUUAUAUUAACUAAAAUUCUUAUGUUGUCUUUCAUCUGUCUGCCAGGUAAAAAGCCUGCUUGGGCCUUAUGAAUUAUCUCAUUCAAUAUCUUUUUCAAUCUAUUUGCCAGUAUGCUUGCAAAUAGUUUGUAAUCAUUAUUUAACAGCGAAUCGGCCUAUAGUUCUUUACUUGUGUUAAAUCUGAAUCUUGUUUUGGUAUUAAUGUAAUAUAUGCUGCUUUCCAUGUUUCUGGUAAUUCUCCUUUUCUUAAUAUAUUGUUCAUCACUUCUUUCAACGGUACAGGUAGGGCAUAUUUCAUUUCUUUAUAAUAUUUUGCUGUGAAUCCAUCCGGUCCUGGUGCCUUUCCACUUUUUAGUUCUUUUAUAGCAGCUUUAAUUUAUUCUGUUUCAAUUAGGUCAUUCAGUCUGUCUUUCUUUUCUGUCGGAAUUUUUUGCAUCCCUUUCUGUCGCAAGAAAUCUAUUUUCUUUACGUCAUUCUCUCCAGCUCUUUUAUAUAAAUAUCUAUAGAAAUUUACGAAUCCUUUUCUAAUUUCUUUCGGGUUAUCUACUUCCUUUCCUUCCACUACAAUCUUAUAAAUUGUAUUCUGUUCCUUUCUCUUUUUGAUCUGCCAUGCCAGCCACUUUCCAGAUUUGUUAGCAUAUUCAAAGUUCUUUUGUCUCAUUCUUUUAAUAUUCCAUUCUACUUCUCGGUUUAUUAUAAUUGCAAAUUGACUUUGCAAGAUUUUAAUAUUCUGAUUUAUUUUCACAUUAUUUGGGUUUUUAACUAAUUUCUUCUCAUUUUCCAUUAUUUGUUUUAGUAUUUCUUUCUUGCCUUUUUCUCUGAAUUUAUUUCUAAUACUGUUCUGCUGUAUAAAGAAGCCUCGUGUUACUGCUUUGCUAGCAUCCCAUACCACACUCAUUUUUGUUCCUUUAUUACUAUUAUUCACAAAAUAAUCCAUCAGAGUCUUCUGCGCUUUCUCAUUUAUUUUUUUAUCAUCCAAUAAGUUCUCAUUUAGUCCCCAUCAAAAAUUUUUUCCCUCCGUUUCUUUUAUUUCACAUUUUAUUGCAUUAUUGGUUGUAUUUCUAUUUUUGUCACUCUUGGUGUUAACUUGCUGGAUAUCCAAAUAUAGUCUAUUCUUGACAUUGAUUGAUUUGGUUCUGAGAAAUAAGUAAAUUGUUUUUCUAAUGGGUUUCUUAAUCUCCAAACAUCUAUCAAAUUACAGUUCUCAAUCAUUGAAAAAAAAGUCUUAGGUAGUUCUCCUUCUUUCGAUUUUCCUCUUGAUCUCAACCUAUCCAUUUCCAUCGAAACCACUCCAUUCAUGUCACCCAUUGUUAUGAUUUUCUGAUCCACAAAUUCAAAUAAAUUUUCUUCUAAAUCUUUAUAAAAUUCAGUUUUACUUCCAUUUGGUGCAUACACUCCGACUAUUAUCAAUUUUUCGCCUUGCCAUGUGACUUGUACCGCAAUUAUCCUACCUUCUUCAUCUUUAAAUAUUUGCCGAGCCUCAAAUUUUUUAUAUACAAAACCACUCCUCUUUUCCUGCUUCUGUCUGAUGAAACAAAUUCAUUUCCCAAUUUUUUAUUAAUCAAUACUCUUCUAUGUUUACUUGCCACAUGAGUUUCUUGUAAACAAAUAAUGUCCAAAUUCCGUUUUUUAAGGAAAUGUCCAAUUUUAUGUCUUUUCUUUUUAUCAUUCAUUCCAUUAACAUUCCAUGUCCAUAAUUUUAGUGCCAUUUUGUGUUCCCUUUACCAAUAAGAAUGUAAAAGUCUUAAACUUGCCUUUCUUCCUCUUCUUCACUAUCCAUUUCUUCUUCUUCCAAUCCUGCCAGUCCUGCUGCUCCUGCCACAAUUGCUUCCUCCCCUUUUCCCAACUCUUUGUAUCUUCUCAAAAAUUUAUGUGCUUCAUCAGCUCUUGUAAACUUAAACUUUUCCCCUUUAUAGUGAAAGGAGAUCCCUUCUGGAAAUUCCCACAUAAAUUCAGUUCCAUUUUUUCCGUAAUGCCUGUCUCAAUGGUUUGUAAUAGUCACGUUUUUUCAAUAAACAAAGUGGGACGUCUUUAAAAAUGAUUAUAAAAGCUCAGCCUUUUUUCUUUGUUUUUCUGUAAAAUCAAAUUCUUCAUUUCUCUAUCUUUAAAUAUAAUCAAACAAUCUUCUGGAAAUUAAAUAUAAUCAAACAAUCUCCUGGAAAUUUCUUUGCUAAAAGCAUUCUGAAUUGUCUUUCUGACAUCUCCCACUUCCAUACUUAACCAUUGUGCAAUCUCCAAUGUUAGCCUCUCCAGAAUAUUCUCCCCUUGUACUUCAGGCACGGAUCUCAAUCUCAAAUUUGAUUCUCUUUACCUCAAUUCAUUCAAUUCAUGUUGGAGUAGAAGGACUUUGAUUUUUUAUUUUAUGGUGCCGGACUGUUUUCCCUGGGAAAGAUUAGCUUUGUUUUUACUUUGGGAGAUUUAUGGCUCUGCUGCUUUGGUGAAGAUAUAUAUAUAUAUAUAUAUAUAUAUAUAUAUAUAUAUAUAUAUAUAUAUAUAUAUAUCUCUCUCCCUUUUUUUCUCUUUUCUUUCUCCUUUUCCCCCUUUUUUCUCUCCUGUUUUCUUUUUACUUUUUUUCUGAAUUUGUUUUUAGGAAUAAUGGAUUAAAAUUUGGUGUAUAUGGUUUUGCUGGAACUUUGAUUAAAGGAUUGGAUUGGCCAGGCAAGUGGUGGAAGAAUGUUAGUUAUUUAUUUAUUUAUUAUAUUUCUUUGCUGUCCCUUAUUGUGGUUUUUAGAUUUUGUCUCCCUGAUUGUAUUUUUUUGUUGCUCUUCUUUUUAAUACUAUCAUUAUUAUUUGUUUAUCCCAUUUGACUAUUUUAUUAGGAUACUACAAUGGAUUAGCCAAACAAGAGGCAGAAAAAGCUCCUUUCCUUUUUUAGUGGUUUACUUUGAAGAAAUUUGGUGUCCCAAAGAUUGCUAAUAUAGUGGAUUGGCCAAUCAAGAGGCAGAAGGGUGUUAAGUUAAAUUUGUGGGUGAUACUUAGUGGCACGAAAAGAGAAAUAAUGUCUCAAACACCGAAAAAAACAGGAGAAGGUGGGACACCUUUGGAAAGAAGAGGAUCAAAACAAGAUAUUGAAUUUAAGGGAGACAUUUUAAAAAUGUUUACAGAAAUUAAAAAAGAUAUUAAACAACGUGAGAAGAAUUUGGAGACGAGAUUAGAAUCGAUGGAUAAAAAAUAUGACAUGACAGUUAAUGAAUUGAAGGGACAGAUGAAGGAAAUAACAAAAAGAACGCAAAACCUGGAAGAAGAAAUGAAACGAAUAAAACAGGAAUUAAAGGAAAUAAGGAAGGAGCAAGAAAGGGUUAAGGGAGAAGUUGCAGAAAUUAAUAAGACACAAGAAGAAUUAUGGGAUGCGAUUGCUGGACUCCUUUAAAUUAGGUGGUUUCUUUCACAGAAGGCAGAGCUAAUUACUCAAAGCUGCAGCUCUUAUUUAAGGUUCAGUCUGACGUUGACUGAUACUGAAACAUUUGAGUUCUGCUCUAGUGGAGUCUCCAGCCAGAACCCUGCAUAGAACUGUCCAGGGAGCUGUUAAAUCCUGAAGUCUAGCCCCACCCUGCCCAAACCUAAACUCUUACCUUGAGUCAAAAACUCUGUAAAACUGAGGUUGUUCUUGUUAGGUGUGCUGCAAGCAUAAAUUGCACAACCGAUGGCGGAGAAUACAGCCCUGCAUGGCCGGCUCCAGGCAGCCCAUACUGCUGCCACCUCCAGUCCAACCCAAAUACCUCCUAGGGGAAAGUGUCUCAUUAGCCUCCCAGACAAAAUUGUUGAGAACCCAAUUAAUGUUUCUUAGCUUUUUGGUCCAAUUGCCUUCCAGCUGAUGGAUUUUCUGGCAGACCAAAUGGAAACCUGUUUUGCUUGCCAUAUGUGUUGAAGCCUUGCCUGCUUCCUUAAUGAUUAUGCCACCUUCCUUGUGAAAUUUAAAUGGGCAUUUGAAGAGCCACAUCAGAAAGCACCCAGUUGGUGGAUCUGCCCUUUAUGCCAGGGAAUGGAGUUUGUGCUUGACUGUGUCAAGUACUGCCCAGCACCUAGAGUAGAAUGAGGCAGCCCUCACUGAUCAAUUUCAGGAGGGCUUAGGGGGAUCACAUUCAGGAUGAAUUUACUUAGAUUGAUGUACCUACACACAGCAGUGAGUUGGGGGUCACAGCAUUCUCUUUCUGAGUAGUUGACUAUUGCUGUCAUGGGUAAUGUGUGUGGGGGGGUAUUAUAGCAUUGUUAUUGGGAUGUUGUGAAGUCCCUGUUGUGGUACAGGUAUGUUUGCUUUUGGUUUCUGCUGUUAUUGUGUUGUUGACCUGCUCAGUGUGCAUAGGAUCUUAGUCCAGGUAUAGUGGCAAAGGGUCAGACUGUUACACUUUUGAGAAAUCUGUUAGUGUUUUUAAGAAAGCACGUCUCAGUUCAGUGGAACUUACUCUCAAGUAAGUGUGCCUAGGAUUGCAGUCUUGAAUGUGUGAUUUCUCCCUACCCCAAAGCACACUGGAAAUAAAAAAUAUUAUUGUAAAUUGUGCAC
rnacentral:lncRNA from 1 species